rnacentral:lncRNA from 1 species
CCAGGGAGUGGUCCCAUUAGGAGGCGUGGCCUUUGCUGGAGUAGGUGUGGCCUUGUUGAAUGAAGUGUGUCACUGUGUAAGUGGGCUUUGAGAGAGCUUCCUCCUAGAUGCCAGUCUUCUUCUGGAGGUCUUCAGAUCAAGAUGUAGACAUCUCAGCUUCUGCAGCAUCAUGCAUGCCUUGCUGCUGCUGCGAUUCCUGUUAUGAUACUAAUGGAUUGAACCUCAGAACCUGCAUAGACAUCGACACUCUCCUCAUAGAGGUUUGCAAUCCCAAGCUGUUGUGAGGUAAGCCGACCAGAUGUAGAAGACCCUUCUCUGCAAAACUGGAAGAGAUGUCCCGGUGAUCACAAACCCUCAGUUACAGAAUUCAAAGGCACUGAAAUGGGUAAAACGCCAACUGAAGAUCUGGGAAAUUUACUAGCAAAAAUGAUCGGUGGAACUCGAAUAAACGCAACCAAAUGAAUCAAGUGAAGAAAUCAAUCCAUGACCCAGACAAAGAAGGCAGAGAAAAGUCAACAAAAUGGAUGGGAAAAUCAGUAAUAUUGAUGAAAAAAAAAAGCCAACAAAAAGAAAGAGAAUUCAUCAAAGAACUUGAGAUUAACAACAAAGCGAAGCUAAAUGCUGGAAAGGACCACAUUGGUCAAUCAGUUAGAAACACAGAGGAAAACAUCACCAGUAGAUUUAGGCAAGUACAAGAAAGAAGAGCAGAGGUUGAGGCAAAGGCUGAGAAAACACUACAUUCAAACAUCAACACUUUAAUCCAAAAAUAGUUAACUAUGAAACAGCAACCCCACCCACCUGAAAGUUAUAAACAGAAUGUUUAGAAUAGUAAACACCAGAGUGGAGGCUUGAAUGGCUUCCAUAAGGCUCAUAUAUUUGAGUGUCGGUCUUUGCAGCUGUAAUACCACCUUUGAUAUUACUACCAAGGUGGGUCACUGUGAUGGUUUGAAUAUUCUUGGCCAGGAAGUGGCAGUAUUAGGAGGUUUUGUUGGUAUAGUUGUGGCCUUGUUGGAGGAAGUGUGUCACUGUGGGAGUGGGCAAUGAGGCCCUGCUCCGAGCUGCCUGGACACAGUCUGCUCCUGGCUUCCUUUGGAUGAAGAUGCGGAACUUCUCCAGCACCAUGCCAGCCUGGACACCUCCAUGCUGCCCACCAUGAUGAUAAUAGACUGAACCUAAGAACCCAUAAGCCAGCCCCAACUAAAUGUUGUGUUUUGUAAGAGUUGCCUUGGUUAUGGUGUCUCUUCACAGCAAUGGAAACCCUAACUAAGACACUGUACUACUGGAUGUGACAAGCAAGGAUGCUAGGUGUUAUAGAGGCUGAACAUACCUGCCCAGUGUACUGAUUCAUUUUUGUGUGUCGACUUGACACAAGCUGGAGUUAUCACAGAGAAAGGAGCCUCCCUUGAGGAAAUGCCUCCAUGAGAUCCAGCUGUAAGGAGACAAAGAAGGAGACCCAUCCCUAGCAGACAACCCAGUCCAUUCCUGGGAGAGAGGAUGGCACCCAGCAAUGAGCAGACUCCACUAGACUGUUUUUCAGAUGGAGACAUUGGAGAAGCAGAGAGGAUGUGCACAAGGGUGUGUGUGCCUUUCUUUCUUAUAGUACUUUCUAAUUUGCAGACCUCCCUUAGAUAAAGUCUUCUUAUCAUCUCGGUCUCCAGGAGGUACCACUGGACAUAGAAAGCAAAUGGAGAGACAUGGCAAGGAGAAAGGAUGUCAGUACUGAAGCUACUGCUAAGAGCCAAGAAAGGGGCUGGAAAGAGGACUCAGCUGUCAAGAACACUUGCUUCCUUCCAGACAACUCAGGUUCAACUCCCAGAAUCUUCGUAGGGGCUCACAACUGUGUGAACCUCCAGUCCCAGGGGGGAAUCUGAAACCUCUUCUGGUCUGUGCAAGCACCAGGCACAAAAGUGGUACACAGAUACACACAGAAGCUAAACACCCAUACACAUAAAAUAAAAAUGUAAAAAGGAUGAAUUAAGAGUCCUGUAAACACCACAGGAAGAUGAUGCUCAGAGCCCCCGAGUACCUGACUGUUCUUGCCAUGGAUUCAUGGGACAGAACCAGGUAAUAUCCAGUAUGUAAGAACUUGAGCAUAGUAGAUACUCAGAAUGUGAGUUUGUCGUUGAUUUGUCAUUGAUUUAAAAACAAAUAGAAACAGGACAAUGUGUGAGCGUAAACACCUACGUGACAGGCAAGUCGGACAUUGAUUGUUGGUACAACCAUGUGCAAGAGUCGCUUGGCUACUUUCACUUCCUAUAAACUGUGUUAUUAUAAGAAAACUUUAAUGGGAAAGAGAACCUGAGAUUUCCCACCAUGUAUUCCAAGAUUCAAAAGGAUAAUAGAAACCAGUACUUAGAGGUAAUCUCUGGUCUUCUCUUCAAUAGAUUUUCCAAAAUUCUAUCACACAGAAACUUCAAAGCAAGAAAAAUGAGCCAUUUAUAGGCUGAGGUUUCACCAAAAUUUAUGCCUCAGAACAUAAGAUGUAACUAAGAGGUUCCAUCCAGGACAUUUUCCCAAGAUGAAAGGACUUAGUCUAAAAAGAAGCAGUGACCACAAAACUCAGUGAGCAACCACUGUGGCCUUUCUGUCCACAGCGGAGCUGCUGUUUGCACUAGGGGUCUCCAGAGGCUUCCAGCACGUUCCUCGUGCAUCGCUGUGCUUGCAGCUCACUGGAACCUCUGACCGAUGGGCAUCUGAAGGCUUUGUCCUGUUCCUCUGUCCCUGUGUCUGCCUCCCAGUCAUGCCACUGUUUUCAACUCUUACCUAUUACUUCUUGAUGAAGUAGUUAGAUUGAAGUUCCCUCAAACACAUGGUCUGCUCCCCUAAAUUGUUUAAACCGUUGCUUGGGCCUAAGUGGGAAGCUAAAAGACAAGAGUCUCAAACACUGCCUUAUCUGGACAAUACUUGUGAAUUAUGAAUAUUUUAAAAUAGGCAUUUCAAUAUACACAUUUAUGAACACACACAUAUAUGAACACAUAUAUUACAAACUAAGUCACCAAGAGUCAGAAUUCCUGGAACUGUUGAGAAGACACGACGUGUCCCCUCUUCCCUUGAUGGGAAGCCAAGAUUUCAGCUGUGCUGACUUCUUUGGCUGUAUCACCAGCAGAAAAGAUACAUUAUGAACUUAGUAGAAAGACAUGCAUAUCUAUGAAGAUGAGUGGAAGCCUAGAUCUGUGAAGUGUGCUUAGAAAUGUACAGAGUGAGCUGGGCAGUGGUGGCGCACGCCUUUAAUCCCAG